AGUUAAUGAACUUGUUAAAGUAUGUAUUUUGAAAAUACAUCAAAGGAUUAAAUAUCCUAUUAACUU
rnacentral:tRNA from 1 species